rnacentral:rRNA from 1 species
UACAGAGGGUGCGAGCGUUGUCCGGAAUCACUGGGCGUAAAGGGCGCGUAGGUGGUGGCUUAAGCGGGCGGUGAAAGCCUGGGGCUCAACCCCGGGUCGGCCGUGCGAACUGGCGAGCUGGAGCACUGUAGAGGCAGGCGGAAUUCCGGGUGUAGCGGUGGAAUGCGUAGAUAUUAGGAAGAACACCAGUGGCGAAGGCGGCCAUCUGGCUCGGUACUGACGCUCAGGUUCGAAAGCGUGGGGAGCAAACAGG